rnacentral:rRNA from 1 species
UACGUAGGGCGCAAGCGUUGUCCGGAAUUAUUGGGCGUAAAGAGCUCGUAGGCGGUUUGUCGCGUCUGCUGUGAAAUCCUCAGGCUCAACUUGGGGCGUGCAGUGGGUACGGGCAGACUAGAGUGCGGUAGGGGAGACUGGAAUUCCUGGUGUAGCGGUGGAAUGCGCAGAUAUCAGGAGGAACACCGGUGGCGAAGGCGGGUCUCUGGGCAGUAACUGACGCUGGAGGAGCGAAAGCGUGGGGAGCGAACAGG